UAUUACAAAUUUCAUUUAUUUGAACUGUUAAAAACUGACGUAGCUGAUGGAAUAACCAGAUAGUGACAUGCGGCAUGCCAUGUGUACCUCAGCAUGAGGUACAAGGGGCAGUUUUUAACAGUAAGAAUGGAUGAAAUAUUACCA
rfam:Gossypium raimondii Chr01_contig_1311, whole genome shotgun sequence.